rnacentral:antisense_RNA from 1 species
UUACAACAGCCUUCAAAAUACUUGCCUAAGCUGAGCUCCUGAAGAAACUUGGACCUGUUUCCUUGACCACGCCUUUACACCCGCACCUGACAUCCAUUGCUCUGAGGCCCAGAAAGAGCUGAGGAGGUCAUAGACAUCAUCAAUGCCCUGCUUGCUUUGAUGUACCAUUAAGAAGACGAUCUUUCCUCUAACAGCCCCAUACAACUGAGCAGUGCCACCAAGUCAUACUGAAGGAAGGCCCUGUGAGUCUAUGAAGUGGCAAAAUGAGUAAACUGAUUGGCUGAAGACAGAACUAAUCAUCCUAAUGGUAUCUAACUCCAGGGCCUACGUUAAUAGCAUAUAUUUCCAUCUGUGUUUAAUAUGCCUCAGAGGCUGAGGCAGAUCUUGCUUGGUGAGGCACCAUCUGCCUAUAGGGAUUAGAUCCGAACCACAUUACCCAUAUAUGCUCAGAAUGGUCUGUCAGGAACACCCUUGUUAAUAGUUUAGCUGAUACUGUUUCUCUAAGGUGGAAGUAAAAAUUACUAAAUGAAA